AAGGGAAGCGUGUACGUUGUCACACUCCCAGCCUUCCAAAGGUACCUAGAGGACGGGCCAGACGCAGCAGAGCGACGACCGGGGAGCGGGUUCCCCACUGGAAGGGGACAGGAGACGGCCAUCUCAAGGCACAUCACGACCUACAGGCAACACCGGCGAGACCUGGGAAAGCAACCCGAUUGGGUGUCAGAGGAUCCAUAGUACCUGCAGCCUCCCGGACUUCAUAUUCAUCAUUUUCAAAAGCGAGGGGAAGGGAUCUCUUUUCUGCAACGGAAAAAAAAAGGGAGCAGAUUUGACUCGGCACAACCUAACGAUACAUCCAAUACCAAUGAUCUGUGCCUAGAAUGCGUUGCUAGAUCUCUGCUCUAGAAAGCUAUACAGGGAACAAUUAACGCGCUUUGACCCCGGGCUUCCCUUUCAUUACUUCUUUCACGACGAGAGAACCGCGUCCGCAUCAGUCGAAGUUGUGGUUAAUGUUCUUUAAAUAAAGCUCCGUUGAACCCCUACUUGAAAGGGAGAAUAGCGGAGUUGUUGUACAGCCUAAGGUCUUUUCCUACAGAGAAAGUGUCUAACUACCUGCAAAUUCUGACCUGGACCCUUCUAUUGCAAUUAUAAGCUUCUUGAUGUACUUUAUCGUAUAAAGGCCAAAGUAGGCCAAAACGGACAAAUUCAUUGUCAGUCUUUCAGCGUCUUCCUUAUGUGUGAUGCAUGUGCCCUGUUCAAAUAGACUAUUCUUGUCGUUUAGUAGCAUUCGAAUGGUUUAUCUUGGAAAUCAAAUUCCAGAGGAUUGGCCUCUUGCUAGCUACUUUACCGAGUAAGUUAGUAAGUGAUUGAGGGCUACCUCUGCCCAACUCUUACCACAGGCUGGCUUCGACAGAUGUCAGAGUGAAUCCGAUUCUUCGAUUCAAUUACUUUUCCAAUUCCAACCCCGCGCGUGGAUGUAGAAAAGUGUGUGAAUGGCAUACGCAAGAUUGGGGAUGGACAACGGAAAUUCAUUUAGUAUAGUCAGCUAGGAAGCACUAGCUAGGCAAGUCAUACUGGGAAUGGACUCCACCCCGAUUAAGAUCCUCUAAAAGGGUAUAGAGCCUCUCCAACAACUCUUCCCCAUUGGCGGUCCUAGGAUUAUCUAGGGCCCGAGCCCCACGUUGCUCCCAAUCGCCCACCGGAUCAAGAAGCGCCAUCCGCCUUAUUAUGUCAACUUUGACCUCGACCGAGCCACCAGGAGACUGGUAGUCGUACUAACAGCUUGAAGUUGUGUCUUGAAGGCUUGCCCCCGACCCCCAACCUAGGAACAACACUAAGACGUUUCAUUUCCAUUUUUUUGGUUAAAAGCAUCGCAUAGUAUAGUGAUAGUGCCCGGUCCGCAGCUGCGGAGUCCGCCUUCCCUUGAAAACACCUCCCAGUGGGGAGGUUUAUAGUACAGAUGUACGCUAAGGAAUAUUAUUAGUAAGACAGGCGUAUAAAGUGCAUAUUUACUAUAGCUUCAAAAGAAAAUAAAUCCUUAUUCGGGUGUUCUGGUGGUGCCCCCGUCUGGUCUACUAUCGUCUUUUCACCGCCAGUAGACUACUUUGGCCCACCAAAUGGCACAACCACAGUAGGUGGCUUGGCUCCCUCUUGCUCUGGUCUACACUCCCCUUGUGAGUCGCCACCCUCAUGUACUACUUUACUAUAAACACAAAACUACUACAGAUAGACUAGAACAUUUCUUAUGUCAAACCAUUCGAUUGAAUGCAGUCUCUGAUGUCAAUGACACGAAAAAGGGAUAUAUACAAUGAAUAGAAUAUACUGCUAGAGUAUUUGAAAGCAUCUGCAAAGCCAACAACGGGCACAGUCGAUCGUAGAUCCCACAUGAUGCCUUGUACCCUCACCCAACCUUGUCUCUUGCCUGUCGACUUGAGUCGAGCUAACUUUCGAUCGAGGACUACCGGUGAAAAGUGUUUGUAGCGUCAAUUCCUUUCGGUGUACAUCUCACCCAAAACAAAAUACCAGAAAACAUAAGUUGCCAGCUCAUAUCUAUCUCUGACCUUGAUCGAACAAAAGCCGUUUGAUCAUAUAUAAAAACACAUACUCAUCGUGGUCGUUCCUCAGCCUCCCGCACCCAUAUUCCUAAACACCCUAGGAGGAGAAUAAGGAUAGCUAGUCACGGACGAUUUUCUCACCUACAUAGUAUACAAUCCAAGACUUCCUAGCUAGAGUCUAGACGGUAUCAAACCACGGGACAGGGAAAAAAGAGCAGCUUUCUAGGUUCUGCCAUUGUAGGGUCAAAAAUAAUAAUAAAAAACGAAAUAGAAGUGACGCCUGGUUCGCCAAAGUACCGCUGCCACCAGGGCUUACAUCCUCCUAUCGCCUACUAGCUGCAUGUGUUAUAUACCUACUGCUUCUAUCGAUGGAAAGACCGAAGCACGUCUCCCUAUAGCUUUGACUGCCAGAGGUCGGGAAGAAGGGGGGUGACUGGGCCCUAUCACAAAAUGAGCAAGUUAGCGACUUGUCAAAGCUUGGUGGCAGGUUUUGUCGGAAAAAGAAUUUUUUUCCAGUGGGAGUCUCAUCUGGGUGGCUGGUUCAGUCGCUUUCGAUAACUCAGAUUGACGGGUAGUGAGAUAGCAUACUCGUAUGAUUGAUUUAAAGUCGGCCACUGAUAGAUGGCCUUUGACUCUUCGGACGGGUAUGCUAGAAAGGAUGUUUGGACGUUUACUUGGAUCAUACGUGUAUAACGUGUUUUCCAAGUAAAUGUUUGAUGUUCCUUUUCUGAAGAAGCCUAAGGGGUUUCCUGUCUUGUUUAGGAAUGGACAACUUUUAGGUUAUUACGCCUCUUGGGACCACAAUAAACAAGGGGAAGUCGACUGUUGCUUCUAAAAGGGCCCGGAUACCACCUAAACCAGUGCAAGGUUGUAUUCCCAAGGAAGCUAUCAUAGUAAUAGGGAAUCCAUCUAGUAUUUACUAAGGAAAGAUGGUGCUGGGGGCCCCACUAAGGUGAAUGUUAUUGAACCCAAACAUUAAAAGCCAUGCAAAAAAUUCCUUCUACGUCCAUUGCUACUGUAAGACCACAAACAGGGGGAGAUGAGCAACAUGUGGGGCCUACACACUUGGAACAGCCUCACCAAGAGUCUGCACAGGCCCGGGAGUUAGGUUCUUUUAUCUUACGGAGGAUGAUGAGGAGGAUUUACUCACUGAUGAAGACGCCAUGACUCAAGAUGAGGAAGAGGUUUUUUGCUCAAGUUGGAGUGGAAGCAGUGAGGGGGGCGAGUUCCCUAACCUACGCGAGCCUAAAGAGAAGAGAGUUCAGUCUACGAAGGGUUCGAGUUAUCAGUCCGGAUCAGUCCCACGCAGGCCGCAGAGAAAGAGACAAGGAGGAUGAAGGGGGCACUAUGGGAAGAGCAUCCAAGACGCGCUAAGGCAAAGGCAUAGAGAUCAAACAAAGGCUUAAUAAGCACAGAUUUCCUAGAAAGAAAGAUUUCCUCUCUUAAAGAUGCUUUCUUCCUGUGAUAGAAGUCAAACUCAACAGCUGACGCAACUACUUAUGCACUUCCAGUCCACCCAGACCGGUAGUAGCUGCAAGCCUACUUCUUAUUGCAUUUGAAGGAGGAAUAAGACCAAAAAGAAGGAGAACUAAUGACGGGAAGAGAAGAUAGUUAGUUUCUAAAGGCUGGACCAAUCAAACCAUAUCGUAUCGAACCAUAGCGGGAGCGAGGAGCACAUAUUCUUUAUUACUGACUUUUCGUGGUUGAUCGCACCAAUAGGAGUCGGUGCUUGUGAGUAGGAGAACAUUCUUUAUUGCAAGAUGUUCGUCUACCCGUCGCCUUUGGUCAAAUCAAACAAGAGGCCAGGAAGGACAUUGUUGAAGGCUCACUGAGUGCUUCUAGGUUAAAGGGAGCACUAUACUCACUCCACAGGAACUCACUUUUCGGUUUGCUUCAGAUUUGGCAUUCAUUCCCCCCCUUUCCUGGAUUUCGCGUUAUUGUCUGCUAUGCUAGCCUAUGAUGGAUGAAGGCCUUUCAUUUUGGCUCUGUAGGGCUACCCUAUGGUAUGGGCUGUUAUCUCAAGGGCCUGGUUAGGCUCUUCUUGUUGGAGUAUCCUCGCUCAAAGGCUAAAAUGAAUUCUCUCUUUUCUUUUGGGAGUGCCUGAAGAGACCUGCUUACUGGAAAGUACCAUUCACAAAGAAUGGUGAAAGGGUUACCUACCCAAGGAUCCUCCUUCUCUUACAGAGGUUUACUACUAGCCAUACCCAGCGGGAUACAUAUUGCCCAAAUGGAACCUGAAAGAUGGGAUGGGUGAUCCAUAAGAUCAUUUGGCGAGGUUCAGCCCUGAGCGUGGGGAUCUUUCUGGAAAUCAAAACUGGUUUUGUUGAGGAACGAAGUAGCCCGUCGCUUACCCGCAUUUCUCUUGGUAUACCCACCUGUGUGCCUCUUAAUUCCGUGAAGUCCUUGGAGCAGUGCGAUUUAUUCAGGAUCCUUGUCAAGAAAGAAGUUAGUCCCUUAUUCUUUAUUUUAUGUUAAAAGGUCUGGACUAGAAGAGGGAGUCGAUUCACGUACNNNNNNNNNNNNNNNNNNNNNNNNNNNNNNNNNNNNNNNNNNNNNNNNNNNNNNNNNNNNNNNNNNNNNNNNNNNNNNNNNNNNNNNNNNNNNNNNNNNNCGGUACGGAUUUACUUACUAUUCGACUCAAAGUGGAGGACUACCUAGAUUAGAAUGAGGAUUCAAUAUUUCGUGAUAGUUAUCAUGGAUUGAAAAGGGACGGGCCAAUAGCAACGCAGAAGUUUCAUACAAAGGUGCCUUGAACAGCAGGGAAAAGACGUUUAAAGCGGAGGGAAAACCAAUCUCAGAAGGGAUGGAUGAAAGGGAAAAUUCCUGUGAUUCUUGGUUAGCUGACUAAGAGCGGAUGGAGCGGGCAAAGAGAGCGGCAUUGCUAUAGGUUCGAUUCAUCAAUGUCGGUAUCUCAGUCACAGAUUGAUGUUGUCCUCAAAAUACCCCUUAGUUUUUACUCAACUAUAUCCGUAGUAUCAGGAUUUCGACCACCAAUCGUUCUUAUGGAUCUCGGUAUGUUUGGCUAACUACGAUGGAAUAGAGCCAUUAUAAGUAGAACCCCUUCUUACGAUAUGUCAGAUAGAGCGGGAUCAGUCACGUAAUAGCCCCCAGCCCUUUCCUUACGAUGAUUCAUGCCUUGAUCGUGCCGUAAGAAUGUCGUAUGCAAAUGAAUUCACUUUUGGUAUAGAAUAAAUGGGCGAAAGCCCGAUGCAGCAACUUGCGAGGGGUUGUGCUUUGCUACUUGCUUUGGUUCCAUCUAUUGUAUUUAUCUACAUGGGAAUGAAUUCGUCCGUCAAACCCGCCAUUUGUAUGCACCCGAACAUGUUCAAUCGACCUUCGGCGUAAGCGAUUUCGUACUGCUAUAGGCUCUAGUUAGGACUUAGAUAUGAACACCCCCCUCGUUAGAAUCCACCCUAAAGUUUCUUAGUAAAUAGGGAUCGUUCAGUAAUGACCUAGUCUUUCGCGAGACUUCAGGUUUACCUCUUUUGUUAGGUCUCGAAUUCUCCGUUAUGAUCGCGUUUUGUACCCCUACUAAGAACUUGAGAGACUGAACUAUGACUCACGGAAGCGGUAUAUUAGUGCCUUAUGCGGGAAAUCCUUGCUUGACUUGUUGAUCAUCUAUCAUUACUGGCAAAGCAAGCAUACCGAUAAUCAACUCGCUUGAGAAACAAUUCGAGAAGGAAGACCCCAAGCCAGCCCAAGCAAGAAAGAGGAACUAAAGUCAACUAAUGCUUAAGACAUCCAAGUUCGGACAUCUAAGCCAGUUCCAGUCCUUCCAUCUGCCUCUAUCUCAAUAGCUUUCAAAAUCGAGUGAUUUGAUUAGCUUACAUCGGAGGAUGGUCUAAAGCUGGCCCUUGCUAUCAGUCCAACCAAGGGCACCCCUUCCUAGUCCGCUUAGUCGGUUGAGUAAACAAACCCGGAUUCUAAUAUGGGUCGAGUAGUGAGUUCCACUUUCUCUUCCGCAGCAAGCCUAGUCUACUUUCGUAAAGUCAACAAGGCCUUACGUUUAUCGUUGUUCCCAGACCAUGGCGGAUACCACCAUUGCAAUAGCAUAAGAAGAAUCCGCAUAUUAGUAGGGAAUGUUCCUAACUCCUAACCUCUAGACUGAAACUUCACCUGAAAGCAAGGCUUGAGAGCAAAGGAACCCGCGCAUUACACUACCAAUCCUUGGGCUUGGGCUUUACUUAUUCUUAUUUACAACAAAGGAAAAACCCAGCCAAGUUCUUCUAAAGUCAAUCUUUCUGGCAGCUAUCUAAUACCGGUCAAGAGCUGCUAUUGGACGAACUUUCAUCAAUUCUCUUUCCGGUUUAGUUUCCAAAAGGUGUCAACCAUAAAAAAAGAUCCUGUCCUUCAAAGAUCGAUCUGAUAAUUGCUUAAGUAAGGUAGUCGCUUCUCUUUUUCGGUAUACUGCUCUGCUCGCAGAGCGAAUUAACAUAAAUCUUUCCGAAUAUGAGGAGGAAAGUGAGAUCGUUGUCCGAUCUUUAUCGUUGAAUCCCCAAAUGUGCAUCUUCGAGUGUUUCAGUCGAUCCCCAAUCUCCCAGUAUCAAUAUUUCGGCUGCUCAAGCCGGUACAGGUACAGAAGUGGCUACAACGGAGCAGCUUACUCCUGAGAUGGAUUUACCGAUUGAACUAGAUUUACCCACCCUUUUCACCUUUUUUCUGAAUUAUGGAAUUGAAGUUAUCUAAAAAAUGAACUGACAAAGUGUCUGUUCAUGGAGAUUGUUGUAGUUUCCGUAGUUGCAAGAAUUUCUCACGACUGGGUUGGUGUGAAGUCUACCGCCUGUCUAGCCUAUGCUUUGCAUGAACAUCUCAAUGUCCAAGAUAAAAAGAACGAGGGGAAGAAUCGACGAGGCGAGUGUUCUCGAAGAGAAAAUCGUGAUGGAAAAAGUGUGAGGAGAAUUGAAACUCGAGAUGUUAGAAGGUGCAAAAUCAAUGGGUGCAGGAGCUGCUACAAUUGCUUCAGCGGGAGCUGCUAUCACUAUUUGAAAUGUCCUUAGUUCCUCGAUUCAUUCUGUGGUGCGAAAUCCAUCAUUGGCAAAACAAUUAUUUGGUUAUGCCAUUUUGGGCUUUGCUCUAACCAAAGCUAUUGCAUCGUUUGCCCCAAUGAUGGCCUUUUUUAUCUCAUUCGUAUUCCAAGUUCGUUAGUAAUCGUUUACGGUGGGUGGAUAAGAAGGAAGGGAUCCCUGUGGUUAGACUAACUGGCCGAGAAGGCUAGUGAGGUUCCUGCUAUGGUGAAGUGAAAGAUCUUUCACUAUAGUGGGAAGAAGACAGGUGGGAGCGACCCGAGCGAGAGCAAAACAAGUUUCAGUGGUGGGCUGUCUUCGCGGUCCCAUUUCAUCGGCUUUUUCUAGGCAAGAGUCGCUCGAAUCGAAGUCAAGGUGAGAUUUGGAACCCACAUUGGUCUAUCCCUUUUCUUUGAUAGGCGUAGAAAGUAGUCGUUGAGCUACUUCUCACUGAGUUACUUACAGAGGGGCCGUCGAGAGAGAUUUGCAUGUGUUAGCUAGCCUCAUAUCUUUCUCAAUGUCCGGACAUCUAUCUAAUGCCUUCCUGCUUUCCGGCCUUUCACUUCCCGCUUGAGGAACAGUCUCUGGAUGUUCCAGUAGCUUUGCUUUAUUCUAAGUCAUUUUUUACAAGACCAGCUUGAAGCCUGGAUUUUGAAUUCGAUUCUAUCCUGCUGGGUAAUUAAGGUAGUUUUUUCCUGCUCUGAAGAGAGACCUUGAGGGGGAACAGCUGACCUAAGACACUUGUUGUCUGAUUGCGCCAUCAGCGAAAUCGUCUUUUUUUCUGCGCUAGACAAGAAAGAGAAAGGGGGAAAAGUAAGGCUUCAAGUAAAGGUUCCUAACUCAUUUGAAUUUCGGUCGGGGUAACUAAAAAGAAAUCCAUGACCGAGUUACGAGAGCUAUAACAUGGGUGUAUGCCCCUUUUACCCCCUAUCACCGGAACUACUUAAGCUGGUUGUCCCAACUCAAAGCAAAAAUCAUAUUUGGAAUCGGAGGUAUUUCACGGGAUAGCCUUUCUGACAAGCUCUUUUUAGUGAAAUCGUUCUGAUUUUGACCGAACUAUUCCCACCUAAACAUAAAGAGCUUAGAUAGUCUCACUGUGAAAUGUUCGCAUCCAAGUCGUUAUUCCUUAAUGAGAAGAGGCGUAAAGAGAUAGUUCUGUCACGUCUCUAUGUCGACCAAGGUUAUUUGUCUAAUAGAAAGCGUUCUCCUGCAGCCGUUGAAGUUUGUUUAUCAAAAACGGACGAUCUCUUCCUCAUAUUCAUACGUGUGUUUGGUGAUUUGUGUCUUGGGUCGUCGCUUUCUCGAAGGAGACUUUGAAUGUGGGCUCUGGAGGUGCCUGUGUUACUAGGGUGUCUCCCCUGUGCUUCUCUUUAGUAAGAUUUUGCACGGACGGCUUGAUUCCUUAUUCAGAUUCCGAACUGUUAUUAAGAGGUCGUAUCUUUCCUUUUCUUGAGGCUGUAAGGGGGGUCGUCCCCUUUCAUUUUGAACUUCGUGAGUAAGUAAGUCGUGGCGCGCUCCUUCCGCACCCCGGUAUCAAAAUCUUCUUAACCAUCUCGAACUCCGAGUGCUUUCCAAGGUUAGGGUUGGUGGGGCCUUAUACCCGAAUUAAUGGAAUUCAUUCAAUGCGUAGACAGAUCAGGGUCGAAAUUGGUAUGGUACCUAGAAAUAUCAUAGGAGAAGAAAGCAUUACUUCUGAGCUCUGCUCUUUCUUUCAAACUCAAAAUAUCAUCAUAAGUGAAUAAGUGAGUGAGAUUGGAUUCUAGGCUCGAUGAGAUGUUAGGUAUGCCCGUUGCGUAGAGAAAGACGAAGAAAGAUUCUUUCAUGUGAAAGAGUUCCUUCUUCUGUUGAGAUUUUAUUCCUUAGGGUGUGCCCCUAGCCUGAGUAUUAUCAUAAGUGAUGCGCCUGCUUAUUGGCCUUCUGUCUCUCGUGGACACCGGAGAGCUACCGAUGGUGGAAACAACUAUCUACCAAUGACGAGAUGACUGAGGUUGCGUGCGCCGCUCCGUCAAAGCUUGAUUCUAGGUGAAGGUGAAACUCCCAGGCGCUGGCUCUGGUUUCGUGUAGCUGUCGUGGAUCCUCUCUCGGUUAGGGUCUCCCCCCUACCUACUCCCUCACUCGCUCUCUUUGCUGCGAAUUCCCUGUGUUAAGCAUAUGGGCUCUGAAGCCCAGUGAGCACUUUCAGACGACUGCCUGAAUCAAAUAGGAGGGCAGGACCCUCUUUCACUCUAGUUAGAUGAAGCCCCUGGGAUUAUUGAACGUAAAUCAGUGCACGAGCCUAUGCAAACAGGUUUAAAAGCAAAAAAGAAAUUCCUUUUUUUGAGCUCCCGAAUCAUCAAUUAGACAAAUUUUCUUUGACUUUUGAAGACUUGCCUACAGAAAACAGCGAAUUACUUUCUGCCAGGCUCAGGAAUUCUACUUUCUAUUACUUUCUAUUGAUUUUUUUUUGAAAGUAGCGCAAGGCGAGCCGAGGCUGCUGGACCACCAGAUUGUUGGACUGGCACCACAGACGAGAAGCUUUUACGUAUUACAGAAAAGCAACUCAAUCGAAUCGCUGAAAAAAAAAUGCCCUAGCCAAAAUUUGGAAAGGGCUACGUUCUUCGGCAUGGGGUUGCCGGGCUCGCCCCAAGACCAAAAAGACAGCAUCUAUCUCAUCCUUGAAAAUGAGAUAGAUGAGCUUGAUCUUAGCCAACGCCUCAAAACGGUCCAAAAAUGGAAUAAGGAGUCCGAAGUGGGUUCCCCGGAGAGUGGCUUCUGGUUGAUGAUAGUCGAAGAGACUAUUAGGUUUUGGGGCUCUGCAUAAUAUUUCCCUUGACUGUAAGGAAGGGAAACAUCAUUUUUUUCAUUCUUUUCUUAUGAGGUCGUGUACAACAACCUUAACCGCACAAGCCUGGGCUGGGCCUACCUCCAUCCCUAGAUGAGCCGUAUGAGGCGGAAGCUCCAUGUACGGUUUUGAAGCCGAGCCUUUCCAGCAAUGGGCCUAGGGACCGAUAUGAUGAUUGGUUUAGGUAGGGCGGCCGGCCUACUACGGGCACCUGUAGGGAUUAGUGUGUGAGACCGCGAUCCACAAACUGACGCAUGGGACUCACCCUUUACUUGGGAAUAGAGAAGGUCACCAUAGCAUGUCACAAGAGCGAGGCGAGGGUUUGAACCCUACUGCGAGAGGGACGCCUCGCGAGCCGGGCUUUUAGAGAUGAGGCUUUUUGGCAAAUCCAAGUCAAUUUUGGGCCACCAAACCCUGCAACUGAUGAGAAGGCCCUAUGGAGUAAAGGGAAGCGUGUACGUUGUCACACUCCCAGCCUUCCAAAGGUACCUAGAGGACGGGCCAGACGCAGCAGAGCGACGACCGGGGAGCGGGUUCCCCACUGGAAGGGGGACAGGAGACGGCCAUCUCAAGGCACAUCACGACCUACAGGCAACACCGGCGAGACCUGGGAAAGCAACCCGAUUGGGUGUCAGAGGAUCCAUAGUACCUGCAGCCUCCCGGACUUCAUAUUCAUCAUUUUCAAAAGCGAGGGGAAGGGAUCUCUUUUCUGCAACGGAAAAAAAAGGGAGCAGAUUUGACUCGGCACAAC
rnacentral:lncRNA from 1 species